UACGUAGGGUGCGAGCGUUGUCCGGAAUUAUUGGGCGUAAAGAGCUCGUAGGCGGUCUGUCGCGUCUGCUGUGAAAACCCGAGGCUCAACCUCGGGCCUGCAGUGGGUACGGGCAGACUAGAGUGCGGUAGGGGAGAAUGGAAUUCCUGGUGUAGCGGUGGAAUGCGCAGAUAUCAGGAGGAACACCGAUGGCGAAGGCAGUUCUCUGGGCCGUAACUGACGCUCAGGUGCGAAAGCGUGGGGAGCAAACAGG
rnacentral:rRNA from 1 species